UACGUAGGGGGCGAGCGUUGUCCGGAGUUACUGGGCGUAAAGGGCGUGCAGGCGGUGCCGUAAGUUUGGAGUGACAGUACCCGGCUCAACUGGGUAAGGCCUUCGAAAACUGCUGGACUUGAGGGCCAGAGAGGGACAUAGAAUUCCGGGUGGAGUGGUGAAAUGCGUAGAUAUCCGGAGGAAUACCAAAGGCGAAGGCAGUGUCCUGGCUGGCAUCUGACGCUGAGGCGCGAAAGCUAGGGGAGCGAACAGG
rnacentral:rRNA from 1 species